rnacentral:rRNA from 1 species
UGCGAGAAAGCACGACUCUCGGCAACGGAUAUCUCGGCCCUCGCCACGAUGAAGAACGUAGCGAAAUGCGAUACAUAGUGUGAAUUGCAGAAUCCCGUGAAUCAUCAAGUCUUUGAACGCAAGUUGCGCCCGAGGCCUUGGCCAAGGGCACGUCUGCCUGGGUGUCGCAU